GGCCCAAUGAAUAAUAUUACGAUCCCGCCUAUAACCAACCCGUAAUAUUUAAAUUAUGGCCCGGCCCGGACCAAGCCUGGUAUUAUGUUUGGGAAUAGUAUAGGCAACACAUCGUACACAUUCUUAUCAAUGUCUAGGUCAAUAAUAAUUAUUACUGAUUAGUGGCUAGUUUUGAAAUUUUUGGUUUACAGACAUUUUGUAAUGUCCACGAAUUCAGAUAAUCUUAAUUCGUGGUAAUGUCUAUACUUUAUUGUCUAGCUCGCGUCUCUUAGUUAAAUAGUUCAAACACGACACACGUAAUUCACACAAAUACACAAUGUAUUAUAUCAUGGUUUUCAAAACUGAAAUAUAAUAAUAUGAUGUAGGUACCUACGAGGAACUAAGAAGUCGAGCCAUUUUUGAGAAGUUGAUUUUCUAUAAGACAAUUCUACAGACCAAGUUACAUUAUAACUAUUGCAAUUCAAGUUAUAAAAACAUUAAUAUUCAAGUGAAUACUAAAACUUAAAGGUAAUAUAUUGCGGAACCAGUAUCUAACUUUAAUAGCACGGAGCAUCUGAACAUAUUUGCAUUUCAAAGAACACAUAACAAGUUUGGAAAUUCAAUGUUCUGACAAUUGAAUGUGAUUCAUUUUGAGACAUUGCUGUCAGCAAAAGAGGGUUUCCAAGUUCCAGAUAAACUAGGAUAUCAACGUAUAACAUGAACUACUCAAUUAUGUUUUCUUCGGCUCAUACAUAUAUUUCGUCAUUACCAGUUUCAGAUAUAUGAAAUUACACAACUGAAUAAUGAUUUUAUAAUUUUUGAAAUUAAUUAUGAUUUCGAGGAAUGGAACAUUAAAUUAUUGUUAAGAUUGUAAAAAACAAACUAUUAUUUAUAAAAAUACUAUAAAUUUAAAUUAAGUUAAGUUGUACCUUUGAAUAAGUUUAUAAUAAAUGUAUUUUCUAUCUAAUAAUUGUAUUAAAUAUAAUUAAAUAAGAUUUUAUAUUUAACUAUGAUUAAUACAACAAAUAACUAAAUUACUAAUUGAUACAAUUUGAAUAUUUCAGUUCAAAAUUUUUCAAAGAACUUUGCAUGUCAAUUUUUCUAAAACGAAUAAUAUAUUAAUAUUAAUAAUAAUAAUAAAUACAAAUUUUAUUCUCUGAAUCUUUGCAGUG